UAUACGACCGUACCGCAAACCGACACUGGUGCGCGAGAUGAGUAUUCUAAGGCGCUUGAGAGAACUCAGGAGAAGGAACUCGGCAAAUUGACACCGUAACUUCGGAAGAAGGUGUGCCCUAUUAGUGUGUAGUGAACAACGAAGCAUGAAUGGGUUGCAAAAAAUCGGUGGCUGCGACUGUUUGUUAAAAACACAGCACUCUGCAAACACGAAAGUGGACGUAUAGGGUGUGACGCCUGCCCGGUGCUGGAAGAUUAAAUGAUGGGGUGCAAGCUCUUGAUUGAAGUCCCAGUAAACGGCGGCCGUAACUAUAACGGUCCUAAGGUAGCGAAAUUCCUUGUCGGGUAAGUUCCGACCUGCACGAAUGGCGUAGCGAUGGCCACACUGUCUCCUCCUGAGACUCAGCGAAGUUGAAAUGUUUGUGAUGAUGCAAUCUCCCCGCGGAAAGACGGAAAGACCCCAUGAACCUUUACUGUAGCUUUGUAUUGGACUUUGAACAGAUCUGUGUAGGAUAGGUGGGAGGCUUUGAAGCAGGGUCGCUAGAUCUUGUGGAGCCAACGUUGAAAUACCACCCUGGUGUGUUUGAGGUUCUAACCUAGGUCCAUUAUCUGGAUCGGGGACAGUGCAUGGUAGGCAGUUUGACUGGGGCGGUCUCCUCCCAAAGCGUAACGGAGGAGUUCGAAGGUACGCUAGUUACGGUCGGACAUCGUGACGAUAGUGCAAUGGCACAAGCGUGCUUAACUGCGAGACUGACAAGUCGAGCAGAUGCGAAAGCAGGACAUAGUGAUCCGGUGGUUCUGUAUGGAAGGGCCAUCGCUCAACGGAUAAAAGGUACUCUGGGGAUAACAGGCUGAUACCGCCCAAGAGUUCAUAUCGACGGCGGUGUUUGGCACCUCGAUGUCGGCUCAUCUCAUCCUGGGGCUGUAGCCGGUCCCAAGGGUAUGGCUGUUCGCCAUUUAAAGAGGUACGUGAGCUGGGUUUAAAACGUCGUGAGACAGUUUGGUCCCUAUCUUCCGUGGGCGCUGCAGAUUUGAGGAAGCCUGCUCCUAGUACGAGAGGACCGGAGUGGACACACCUCUGGUGUAUCGGUUGUCACGCCAGUGGCAUUGCCGAGUAGCUAAGUGUGGAAGAGAUAACCGCUGAAAGCAUCUAAGCGGGAAACUCGUUUCAAGAUGAGAUCUGCCGGGGCCUUGAGCCCCCUAAAGAGUCGUUCAAGACCAGGACGUUGAUAGGUCAGGUGUGGAAGC
rnacentral:rRNA from 1 species